AAGUUGUUAAAUAACUCUUUCUUAUAUUUUCAAAAUAUAUGCUUUAGAAUAUAUAAGCUAAACAAC
rnacentral:tRNA from 1 species